UACGUAGGGUGCGAGCGUUGUCCGGAAUUAUUGGGCGUAAAGAGCUCGUAGGCGGUGUGUCGCGUCGGCCGUGAAAACCUGGGGCUCAACUCUGGGCGUGCGGUCGAUACGGGCAUCACUUGAGUUCGGCAGGGGAGACUGGAAUUCCUGGUGUAGCGGUGAAAUGCGCAGAUAUCAGGAGGAGCACCGGUGGCGAAGGCGGGUCUCUGGGCCGAUACUGACGCUGAGGAGCGAAAGCAUGGGUAGCGAACAGG
rnacentral:rRNA from 1 species